AGAAUGUUAAAUCAUCUGUUCUCUUCUCCAGCACCAAAACCAAAUGUCUAGUUCUCAGCAGAUAAGUAGGACUAAUAUAAAACAAAGUGAGUAAAUUUUGCCCUGUGUGAUCCAGAAAGGCCAUUAAUGAUCAUAGCCUUAGGUUUGGGUUUUGGCAGCUCAUCCUCACAAAAAUGUUGGCUCUAUAUAGUGAGUGAACAUCUUCAUUUCAAUUGAAAAUACAUUUUAAAAUAUUAUCAGCCUGGAAGCUUUCCAGUCUAGAAGAAAAUGAAAGGCUACUAGAGACUACAUUAACCUUUCUUGUGCACACAGGUUCCAGAUGGAUUUAAAGUAGGAAAAAUAUCACCCCCCGUUUACUUGACAAAUGAAUGGGUAGGCUAUAAUGCACUCUCUGAAAUCUUCCGGAAUGAUUGGUUAACUCCUGCACCUGUCAUUCAGCCACCUGAAGAGGAUGGUGAUUAUGUUGAACUCUAUGAUGCUGGUGCUGAUACUGAUGGUGAUGAUGAUGAUUCUAAUGAUGCUUAUGAAGAUACUUAUGACCAUGACAAUGGCUGUGAUGAGUUGGAUAACCAGGUUGAUCAGGCUAAUGAUGCUGGUGAAGACCAAGAUGAUGAUGACAAUGAUGAGGUUGUUGAUGACAAAGGCAAUAAUCGUGAUGAUGCUCCUAGUUGGCCAAGGCCAAGCUGUGGCAGAGGUGGAAGCUACAAGCAAGAUGGUAAAGAUGGAAGUGAUGGAGGGGAAGGAACUUUCAGCAGCAAUGGAAGCCAGAGAGCUAGUAGAAGCCACGGAGGAAGUACAGCCAUUAGGGGCAGUGAAGCCAUUGGAGACCAUGAAGGACACAGAGCCAAUACAGGCAGUGGAAGAAGAGGCAAAGAGAGUAAUGGAAAUGAGGGAGUCAGUGGAACCAAUGAAGAGAGUGAAGCCCUUGAACUCAAUGGAGAAGGAAAUUGCUCAGAGAUAGAUGAUCCAGUAUUGGAGAGACCAGCAUCCCAGGAAUUUGAACAUAAACCAGAGGUAAUAUGCCAUUUGAAAAGGAGAAUGAACUCUUCUCCUUGUGAAUGCGUUUCUUCAUGUGAUAUGUCAUAUUUCCAGCCAUUACAAAUAUAUUU
rnacentral:lncRNA from 1 species